GCUCCCAGACCGACGCCCCCGGGACCAUUUUGGACACACGGACACACACGGACAGGCAGAACUUUUCAGAGCUGCAGGAAAGCCCGCAGGCCAAGGCUCAGCUCUCCUAUAUCUCCUUCAGGGGAAGCUCCUGAAGAGGGUGGACUCCGAGCUGUAAAUGAGAGACUUUGGCUGAUUACUUGGGCCUGAUGACUAAGUUAAUGGAUCAGGAAGCCCCCUGCCUCUUCUUUUUUGUCUACCAUCCAUCCUGUGGCCAUUUCACUACACACUCUCAGACAGCGGGCAGAGAAAGAGAAAGGAACUAAGUGAUUUUGUUUCUAAGAGGGGCGGCCACACCAGAAGAAGAAUCCCCCUUCUAUGCAGGCUCCGUUACAUCGAAAGGAUGAGAAUCCUGGCCUUCCUGCAUCUCUUGCCACUACGGGUUUCUGAAUCUAAGGCUGGAUGCUGGAAGGAAAUCUGUCACUGGACUUGGGAGAAAGGUUCUAGAGAGGAUACAUCCAAUCAUCAGGAUGGGCAGGUGAUCAAAUAUUUCACUCUUGGAAGCAAAGGACUCAGCUCCUGGAAGGAAUUUUCAUUUUGGAGAUGAAAAUCCCUUUAAAUCCUCACUGCCAACCUCCUUUGUGAGCAGCCCUGAAGAAUGUAGUUCUAGGGAAUCUUGGGCAUUUUUAGCUGGGUGAGGAAGAAACGGGUCUCCCCACAGAGCACAGACCAUGGACAAUGUUCCAUCCCCACCUUCACCCCAAGGAUAUCGGCCACGGGGCCAGAGCCAGGGCUCCUGUUAUUUCUGCCCCUGCCCAACUCUCCUCCAAACUCUCACCCCAGUUUAAAGAGCUGGGUGGGGAAGGAGCAGAGAGGCAGCAGCACAGACUACUGGACAAUGAUGGUUUCUCUAUUUCCAACAGAUAUUUUUCCUGCUUUGGGCAGGAAAAGUUACGCUAAUGGUUACUGAUUUAUUAAUACAGCCUAAACUCUUUUAUUGCUCAAAGACUUUUCUUUGAAAGACUUUUCAAUAGAACCUAAGUAUAUUUAACAGGGAAAGAAAUUCUGCUUUAAUCAUAAAUUUUCUUCCAUUAGAAAGCAAAACCCAAAAAGCACAUCUAGAGAGUUGUUAAGGCUAGGGAAAUCCACCCAGCGAUUCUAGAAAAUGAGCGUUACACUGUGGAGAAACCUGGCAUUAAAAAAAACUUGCUCUGUCACAGUCACCCAUCCUGACACGAUGCACACAUGUACGAGCAGUUUCCCUGAGAACGUAGUGCACCGAGCCCAGGAUGCCUAGCAAAGCCAGAGAUAUGUUCCCUGAUUCCUUGUGUGUUAUCCCAAAAGCGUAUUGAAAACACACAUUAAGGACAAAACUGCAUGUACGUUCUUCAUUGUGUUAAGAAUAAGUAGCUUCAAACUGGUUAUAAUUGAAUACAAAAUAUUUAUUAUUAGAAAGCUAUUCCAUAUGUAACUCACCU